rnacentral:lncRNA from 1 species
AGCUUACACACAAUGUAGUGGGCUAAAAGAAAAAAAAUUGCAUCCUUUUUGAGGUCAGUGAACUUCCUAUUGGUUAACACAGUGUUUCACCAGUUGGAAAUUUCAGCUCUGCUUUGUUGUGAAUUUAAGCAGUUUUCAUUCUUAUCGUGCUGCAGUUUCAUUUGCUGGUGUCAGGAUGAUUCUUCCCAACAUAGGAGGUAAGGGUUUAUUUAAUUUACCUGAUGUUUUUAAACGACUGGCUUCUCUGAAUUCAAAUUAACUUUGUUUCAGUUAAUUAUAUUUACAGUAAAUUGCAGCUAACAGUAUAAAUUAGAACAUUUGAAUCAGGGUACCCAGUUCUUCACAGUGAGGGAGAAAAUUAAUUUAUAUAACUAUUAUUGUUUCUAAACAUAUAACACAGAGUAAGCAGGACUGAUCAGAUUCAGACAGGUCAGUCUGGCCAGGGUAGAAGUUUGUCUUGAGUUAAUUUAAUUUAAUUCACAUUAAUACAUGUUCAAAUGUAUUCACAGACAGUAGGCCUUAAAGCUAACUCUGCAAAAUAUAAACUUUUUUUUUUUUUUUGGUAUAUAUCUGAGUAUAAUGUCUUGCAUGUUGCACGUUGCAACAUGGAUAUUUCAUGUACUUUAGUUUGGGAAAAUGCUGUUUUUCACAGUAUAUUGCAAUCACUCUUUCUUCAUAGCGCUAACUGUGGUGUGCUGGAUAAUGUGUGUGAGAAACGCAGAGUCUCAGGCAUAUGCUCCAGCCCCUACAUUCGGAUAUAGAUUCAGAAUAAAUGAAAGUAAUAUUGAGCUAAACACUAUAGUAGAGGUUGCUUGUAGCACCACCUGGAAUGCUCCGUAUCCCAUAACUUUGUCUGUGGGCAGGUUGGAAAGCCCCUCGCAGACCCCAGAAACCUCAGAAGCCUGGGUGACAUCUGACGUCAUCAAUCAUUCAGAUGUCAAAUAUUUCACAAUCCCUGCAACGGCCAAGUUUGAAGGAAAAAUUGUAUGCUGGUACAAAUCCACUAAAACUCACUUAAAGAAUCCAUAUUCUGAAUUAAGCAGCCCUAUAACCUUAGUCGUAUCUGCCCUCCCUCAUCCCAAAGUGACUGUGCAACCCAAACUUUUUCGUAAGGGUGAAAAUUACAAUGUAUAUUGUGACUCAGGCGAUAUCCUAGCCACAAACUUCACACUGAGUCUGUAUUACCGCCUCCUCCCCGUCACCCCUGGCACCAACUGGACCCUCGCUGGUUCAGUGUUUCUCACAAAUGUCACCAGUAUCGUUUUAAGACAGACAAAUGUUGUUGUCCCAAUAGAGUUUGCUUGCAGUAUGGAGAUGUUGUACAAUGGGAAACUCUUACAUUCAUCUCUGUCCAACAGUGAACAAGCCAUCCCAGAAGAGCUUCCGGUUCGGCUCUGGGAGCAGGAACGUGGCGAGAGCUGUCUAGGAUAUCUGGAUAUCACUCUCAAAGGCAAGUGGGAACCUGUUUGUCAGAAGGAAAUCGAUACCACAGCCGAUUCAUCUGCCGCUGCUGCCACGGCUGAAGUGGUGUGCAGGGAACUGGGAUGUGGGCAUGUGCUGAAGUGGGAAAGGCUUUUGGACAACAGACGGCAGUUCACACAGACAGUUGGGGGCAUCAGAUGCACUGGGGAAGAAAAAAAGAUCAAAGAUUGUUCAGUGGAGGAAAUUGACGUUUGCAGGCAGAGAGGCACUCUCUAUAUUGUUUGCUCAGAUACAUUGCCCCGUCCUAAACUGUCUGUGGAUAGGUAUGGUCCUGACCCCAAACUUUAUGUCACGGACAAAGAAAAUAUGAAAAUCUCCUGCUCCAUCCACUCAGCUUAUUUAAAAUCAGACGACUAUGGGUACUUUGAGUUUCGAAAGGAUGGUGCAUAUUUGACUCAGCGUCAAAACAUGCCAGGCUACCCCGCAUCUUUCACAGAGGAUGCCCCAGUGCCUCAAGGAGAGUAUGAAUGUGUAUUCCAUCUUACGUCUUCUAAAAUUAAACCAGUGUCUCAGCCCAGCAAUUCAGUCUUCAUUUACAUAUACAUUCCUCCAGAUCCAGUGCCAAUUGUUACAGGUGUUCUCACAACUGCUGUUGGGUUAGCAGUUCUGGUGUAUAUUUGUGUAUACAGGACUGCGGCAAAAGAGGAACAGCCUAAUGAAUUUCCACAGACCAGUAGUGAAAAUCCAUAUGCCGGCCACUCAUCUCAGCAACUGGAAGCCUAA